CUGUGAAGAACGUCUUCUCGUUAUGAAGCUGCACACCUAUUAUCUGCGCUCAGGCAUACAUAAUCGUGUAAUUCUCCUCAUCUCUUUGCACUAGCCUCUUCUGCCUCCUGAUUUGUCAGUACCCUGGUCUAGCUCUCAACUUCCGCUUGCAAGUUAAAAGUGACCAACAAACUGAACCUGAAGUAAGAGCCCUGAAACCAAAGGCUGCUAACUUUUAAAUGUCUUGCAUGCACAGCCUCAAGAAGAUUUAGUAUCUGAAUCAUUCGGAGUCUCUGAAUUAGUCACUGAAGAGCCCUUCAUGGAAGACGCAAGCUCUCUGCCUCAAGCCACACAGGGCUCCCAGCUGUGAACUGCGCUUUGUGGGGCUAACUUCAAGAGGCUGAAUAUCCAGGGAAGCACAGAGUAAGAUGAAGGUAUUGCUGACCCUGCCUCUGGUGCUGACGUUGCUCGAGAGAUGCAGCGGGUCAGCUGGCUGGGUCUUCGUGCAGCCUCAGCUCCAAGCCUGCUCCGGGGACUCCGUCCUGCUGCAGUGCCGCUUCCUUGACUCGGUGGCCAAGCAG